UACGGAGGGUGCAAGCGUUAUCCGGAUUCACUGGGCUUAAAGGGUGCGUAGGUGGGCAGGUAAGUCAGUGGUGAAAUCUCCGGGCUUAACUCGGAAACUGCCGUUGAUACUAUCUAUCUUGAAUAUCGUGGAGGUAAGCGGAAUAUGUCAUGUAGCGGUGAAAUGCUUAGAUAUGACAUAGAACACCCAUUGCGAAGGCAGCUUACUACACGAUCAUUGACACUGAGGCACGAAAGCGUGGGGAGCAAACAGG
rnacentral:rRNA from 1 species